GCGCCCGUAGCUCAGCUGGAUAGAGUACUUGGCUACGAACUAAGUGGUCGGGGGUUCGAAUCCCUCCGGGCGCACCA
rnacentral:tRNA from 1 species